AGUUUGAUCAUGGCUCAGGAUGAACGCUAGCGGCAGGCUUAACACAUGCAAGUCGAAGGGUAGGUUACUUCGGUAACUGAGACCGGCGCACGGGUGCGUAACGCGUAUACAAUCUACCUUUUACAGAGGGAUAGCCCAGAGAAAUUUGGAUUAAUACCUCAUAGUAUUUUCGGAUCGCAUGAUUUGAUAACUAAAGUUCCAACGGUAAAAGAUGGGCAUGCGUCCUAUUAGCUAGAUGGUAAGGUAACGGCUUACCAUGGCUACGAUAGGUAGGGGGUCCUGAGAGGGAGAUCCCCCACACUGGUACUGAGACACGGACCAGACUCCUACGGGAGGCAGCAGUGAGGAAUAUUGGACAAUGGGCGCAAGCCUGAUCCAGCCAUGCCGCGUGCAGGAAGAAGCAUCUAUGGUGUGUAAACUGCUUUUGUACGGGAAGAAACACUCCUACGUGUAGGAGCUUGACGGUACCGUAAGAAUAAGGAUCGGCUAACUCCGUG
rnacentral:rRNA from 1 species